AUAUCCUACUGCAUCACAAAUCAGGCGUUUGCUACAUUGCACAAGGUUCAUAGGUGUCUGUGCACCUGCUAGUCUAAAACUCAGAAAAUAAAUCAGAUUUCAGUUGUUUAAAAAUGUGGACAACAAGGGAAACGGUUUGAUCUUCCGGCUACCAAACACUAAAAUAGAGGUCUUGCAACUUUUAGAUGUUUCUCUGCUUCAACCCACCUGAGUAAAAUAAAGAGGUCAUCAGCGGGACUAUGGAGAACUGGACUGCAUACUGAAAGGUGGUUUAUGUAUUUGAUUCUGGUGUGUUGGAUCCAGGAAACACUUAAAAGCUGCAGGACACCGGACCUCGAGGACUGGAGUCAAGACCCCUGAUCUAGGGUUUCAGCACAAUUAAAAGGAAUAAAUAAAA